UACGGAGGAGGCAAGCGUUAUCCGGAAUUAUUGGGCGUAAAGCGUCCGCAGGUGGUUAAUCAAGUCUGCUGUCAAAGCGCGAGGCUCAACUUCGUAAAGGCAGUGGAAACUGAUUGACUUGAGUUUGGUAGGGGUAGAGGGAAUUCCCAGUGUAGCGGUGAAAUGCGUAGAUAUUGGGAAGAACACCGGUGGCGAAAGCGCUCUACUGGGCCUGAACUGACACUGAGGGACGAAAGCUAGGGGAGCGAAAGGG
rnacentral:rRNA from 1 species